AGAAGCCUUUCCCUGUGCCAUAGCUAAAGAGUCAGCAAUCCCAGAUAUACGAUGACUGACGAUGAAUGAGGGAAGGUCGCGAGACUGUGAAACAGCAAUUCAUCUGUGACAGCCUCCCUAUUAGCUGGUCAAUCCUGGCACCUCUACAGAAGGAGGAUUAACUGGCCUCUUGCUAUAGCUAUGGAUGCUUCUAGAUGCGUGCACAGGAUGGACUUGUGGGGAUCAGGAGACACUGCUUCAGGAAAGGGAUUGCAGAAGUUGACAUCAGAUCUCCUGAGACUGGAGUAACGAACUACUUUGAGCUGCCACAUGGACGCUGGGAAUUGAACCUGGAUCCUCCCCAAACACAUCAAGUGCUCUUACUACUAAUCCAUCUCUCCACCCUCCAUGUUGCAAGGUUUUCUGCAAAUAUAAACCAUUACUGUUU
rnacentral:sRNA from 1 species